GAUGAACGCUGGCGGCGUGCCUAAUACAUGCAAGUCGAGCGAACGGACGAGAAGCUUGCUUCUCUGAUGUUAGCGGCGGACGGGUGAGUAACACGUGGAUAACCUACCUAUAAGACUGGGAUAACUUCGGGAAACCGGAGCUAAUACCGGAUAAUAUUUUGAACCGCAUGGUUCAAUAGUGAAAGACGGUCUUGCUGUCACUUAUAGAUGGAUCCGCGCUGCAUUAGCUAGUUGGUAAGGUAACGGCUUACCAAGGCAACGAUGCAUAGCCGACCUGUGAGGGUGAUCGGCGACACUGGAACUGAGACACGGUCCAGACUCCUGCGGGAGGCAGCAGUAGGGAAUCGUCCGCAAUGGGCGAGAGCCUGACGGAGCAACGCCGCGUGAGUGAUGAAAGUCUUCGGAUCGUAAAACUCUGUUAUUAGGGAAGAACAUAUGUGUAAGUAACUGUGCACAUCUUGACGGUAACUAAUCAGAAAGCCACGGCUAACUACGUG
rnacentral:rRNA from 1 species